rnacentral:sRNA from 1 species
CUGAACUUAUGUUAUAAAUAUAUAAAAUACAGUUUGUUAUAUAUGCAUUUAUACAUUUAUAUGUGUAUUAUACAUGUCUUUAUAUGAUACUCUCAGGUUAUUUUUUAUUAUUGCCAACUCCUUUCAUAGUAUACAAAUAAUAAACCAUAAGCAAAUACUAAACUUCUGUAAAGUAUUCCACUAUUAAUAUCAUGAACGCUUGGCAAUAUUUCAGAUUAAAUCAUAGUUCUUUGUGCAAAAAGUGAAGAGAGACAAUUCAUUAAAAGUUUCAGUGUUUUCAUUGCAAAGUUGUCAAGGCUAUAUGCUUUGUGAGUUCUAAAUUUGAGUGGUGCAUCUCAAUGGAAUCUUUGUUUCUUUUCUUUUUUUUUACAAGGCAUGGAGGAGUGACGGCAGGAACUUUCUGUGCUCUGACAACCCUUAUGCACCAACUAGAAAAAGAAAAUUCUGUGGAUGUUUACCAGGUAGCCAAGAUGAUCAAUCUGAUGAGGCCAGGAGUCUUUGCUGACAUUGAGCAGUAUCAGUUUCUCUACAAAGUGAUCCUCAGCCUUGUAAGCACAAGGCAGGAAGAGAAUCCAUCCACCUCUCUGGAUAGUAAUGGUGCAGCAUUGCCUGAUGGAAAUAUAGCUGAGAGCUUAGAGUCUUUAGUUUAACACUGAAAGGGGUGGGGGAACUCACAUCUGAGCAUUGUUUUCCUCUUCCUAAAAUUAGGCAGGAAAAUCAGUCUAGUUCUGUUAUCUGUUGAUUUCCCAUCACCUGACAGUAACUUUCAUGACAUAGGAUUCUGCUGCCAAAUUUAUAUCAUUAACAAUGUGUGCCUUUUUGCAAGACUUGUAAUUUACUUAUUAUGUUUGAACUAAAAUGGUUGAAUUUUACAGUAUUUCUAAGGAUGGAAUUGUGGUAUUUUUUCCUGUAUUGAUUUUAACAGAAAAUUUCAAUUUAUAGAGAUUAGGAAUUCCAAACUACAGAAAAUGUUUGUUUUUAGUGUCAAAUUUUUAGCUGUAUUUGUAGCAAUUAUCAGGUUUGCUAGAAAUAUAACUUUUAAUACAGUAGACUGUAAAUAAAACACUCUUGCCUAUGAUAUUCAACAUUUUACAACUGCAGUAUUCACCUAAAGUAGAAAUA